rnacentral:rRNA from 1 species
CCUACGGGUGGCAGCAGUGAGGAAUAUUGGUCAAUGGACGAGAGUCUGAACCAGCCAAGUAGCGUGAAGGAUGACUGCCCUAUGGGUUGUAAACUUCUUUUAUAUGGGAAUAAAAUGUUCCACGUGUGGGAUUUUGUAUGUACCCUAUGAAUAAGGAUCGGCUAACUCCGUGCCAGCAGCCGCGGUAAUCCGGAGGAUCCGAGCGUUAUCCGGAUUUAUUGGGUUUAAAGGGAGCGUAGGUGGAUUGUUAAGUUAGUUGUGAAAGUUUGCGGCUCAACCGUAAAAUUGCAGUUGAAACUGGCAGUCUUGAGUACAGUAGAGGUGGGCGGAAUUCGUGGUGUAGCGGUGAAAUGCUUAGAUAUCACGAAGAACUCCGAUUGCGAAGGCAGUUCACUGGACUGCAACUGACACUGAGGCUCGAAAGUGUGGGUAUCAAACAGGAUUAGAUACCCUAGUAGUC